rnacentral:pre_miRNA from 1 species
AAUCUACUCCCUCCGUUCCUAAAUACUUGUCUUUCUAGGCAUUUCAACAACUGACUACAUACGGAGCAAAAUGAGUGAAUCUACACUCUAAAAUAUGUCUACAUACAUCCGUAUGUAGUAGUCAUUUGAAAUGUCUAGAAAGACAAGUAUUUAGGAACGGAGGGAGUAAUAG